rnacentral:rRNA from 1 species
UACGUAGGGUGCAAGCGUUGUCCGGAAUUAUUGGGCGUAAAGAGCUUGUAGGCGGUUUGUCGCGUCUGCUGUGAAAUUUCGGGGCUCAACCCCGAACUUGCAGUGGGUACGGGCAGACUAGAGUGUGGUAGGGGAGACUGGAAUUCCUGGUGUAGCGGUGAAAUGCGCAGAUAUCAGGAGGAACACCGAUGACGAAGGCAGGUCUCUGGGCCACUACUGACGCUGAGAAGCGAAAGCAUGGGGAGCGAACAGG